AACGAACGCUGGCGGCGUGCUUAACACAUGCAAGUCGAACGAGAAAGCCUUCGGGUGAGUAGAGUGGCGCACGGGUGAGUAAUGCAUGGGAACGUACCUAGAUGUUGGGGAUAACUACGGGAAACUGUAGCUAAUACCGAAUGUGCUCGCAAGAGUAAAGGAGGCUUCUUAUAGAGUUACUAAUUGUACUUUCACGGUGUGAAGGUAGAAGAGUAACUCUAUAUAGCUACCGCGUCUAGAGCGGCCCAUGUCCCGUUAGCUUGUUGGUGAGGUAAAAGCUCACCAAGGCUACGAUGGGUAGCUGGUCUGAGAGGAUGAUCAGCCACACUGGAACUGAGACACGGUCCAG
rnacentral:rRNA from 1 species